rnacentral:rRNA from 1 species
AGAAUCAACGCUGGCGGCGUGCCUAACACAUGCAAGUCGCACGAGAAAGGGGAGCAAUCCCUGAGUAAAGUGGCGCACGGGUGAGUAACACGUGAAUAAUCUACCUCCGAGUGGGGAAUAACUGAGAGAAAUCUUAGCUAAUACCGCAUAACACUUACGAGUCAAAGCAGCAAUGCGCUUGGAGAGGAGUUCGCGGCCGAUUAGUUAGUUGGCGGGGUAAUGGCCCACCAAGACGAUGAUCGGUAUCCGGCCUGAGAGGGCGCACGGACACACUGGAACUGAAACACGGUCCAGACUCCUACGGGAGGCAGCAGUGGGGAAUUUUUGCGCAAUGGGGGAAACCCUGACGCAGCAACGCCGCGUGGAGGAUGAAGCCCCUUGGGGUGUAAACUCCUUUCGAUCGGGAAGAUAAUGACGGUACCGAUAUAAGAAGCCCCGGCUAACUUCGCGCCAGCAGCCGC